UGUGACGGCGUGCCUUUUGCAUAAUGAACCUACGAGUUGCCGUCUUUGGCAAGGUUAAGGGACAUGAGUCCCGCAGCCGAAGCGAAAGCGAGUCUGAACAGGGCGUCAAGUCAGCGGCGGCAGACGCGAAACCAAGUGAUCUACCCUUGGCCAGGAUGAAGUCUGGGUAACACCAGAUGGAGGUCCGCACCAAUAAGCGUUGAAAAGCUUCUGGAUGAGCUGAGGGUAGGGGUGAAAGGCUAAUCAAACUUGGAGAUAGCUCGUACUCCCCGAAAUGCAUUUAGGUGCAGCCUUGCGGGUUACUGAUGUGAGGUAGAGCGACUGAUUGGAUGCGAGGGCUUCACCGCCUAUCAAGUCCUGACAAACUCCGAAUGCGCAUCAGUUCUACCGCAGGAGUGAGGGCAUGGGUGCUAAGGUCCGUGCCCGAGAGGAGAAGAAUCCGGACCACCGGCUAAGGUCCCGAAAUGACAGCUAAGUUAAACUAACGAAGUCUGAUUGCUAAGACAGCUAGGAUGUUGGCUUGGAAGCAGCCAUUCAUUUAAAGAGUGCGUAACAGCUCACUAGUCGAGGAAUCGGGCGUGGAUAAUAAUCGGGUAUCAAGUUGUCUACCGAAGCCGUGGGAUCAGCAAUGAUCGGUAGGGGAGCAUUCCAUUCUGCGUCGAAGGCGUGGCGUGAGCCAUUCUGGAGCGUAUGGAAAAGCAAAUGUAGGUAUAAGUAACGAUAAAGGGGGUGAGAAACCCCCUCGCCGAAAGACUAAGGUUUCCUGAUCAACGCUAAUCGGAUCAGGGUCAGUCGGGUCCUAAGGCUCAGCCGAACGGCGAGGCCGAUGGCAGAAACGGUUAAUAUUCCGUUACUACCUUUGAGGGUGACGUGGGGAAGCAGUAGUGACACUGCCGCGGGCUGACGGAAUAGCCCGUUAAAGAGUGUAGGCGUUGAUUUCCGCAGGCAAAUCCACGGAAAGAGCCGAACUUGAUAGUAUGGAGCGUCCUUCGGGACAAUCCAAUAGCGCAGGUAAACAGACUGCCGAGAAAAUCCGCUAAACAUAACUUCAGAGGUACCCGUACCGCAAACGGACACACGUAGUCGGGUUGAAUAUACUAAGGCGCUUGGGUGAAUCACGGUUAAGGAACUAGGCAAACUGACCCUGUAACUUCGGGAUAAAGGGUCCCUCCUCGCAAGAGAGGGCGCAGAGAAUAGGUCCAGGCAACUGUUUAACAAAAACACAGGGCUGUGCGAAUAUGAAAGUAGAAGUAUACAGCCUGACACCUGCCCGGUGCUGGAAGGUUAAGAGGAGAUGUCAUCGCAAGAGAAGCAUUGAAUUGAAGCCCCAGUAAACGGCGGCCGUAACUAUAACGGUCCUAAGGUAGCGAAAUUCCUUGUCGGGUAAGUUCCGACCUGCACGAAUGGUGUAAUGAUCCGGACGCUGUCUCAACCGUGAGCCCAGUGAAAUUGUAGUAUCGGUGAAGAUGCCGAUUACCCGCGAUGGGACGAAAAGACCCCGUGAACCUUUACUAUAGCUUAGCAUUGAAUUUGGGCACGCGAUGUGUAGGAUAGGUCGGAGGCUUUGAAGCAGGCACGCCAGUGUUUGUGGAGCCGCUGUUGAAAUACGACCCUUUGUUUGUUUGAAUUCUAACUCUUGGUAAGAGGACAUUGCUUGGUGGGUAGUUUGACUGGGGUGGUCGCCUCCAAAAGCGUAACGGAGGCUUCUAAAGGUGCCCUCAGGACGAUCGGUAACCGUCCGCAGAGUGUAAUGGCAGAAGGGCGCUUGACUGGGAGACAGACAAGUCGAGCAGGUAGGAAACUAGAGCAUAGUGAUCCGGUGUUUCCGUAUGGAAGGGACAUCGCUCAAAGGAUAAAAGGUACUCCGGGGAUAACAGGCUGAUCCCUCCCAAGAGCUCAUAUCGACGGAGUGGUUUGGCACCUCGAUGUCGGCUCGUCACAUCCUGGGGCUGGAGAAGGUCCCAAGGGUUGGGCUGUUCGCCCAUUAAAGUGGCACGCGAGCUGGGUUCAGAACGUCGUGAGACAGUUCGGUCUCUAUCUAUCGUGGGCGUAUGAAAUUUGCGUGGCUCUGACACUAGUACGAGAGGACCGUGUUGGACCGACCUCUGGUUUACCGGUUGUGCCGCCAGGUGCAUCGCCGGGUAUCUAAGUCGGGAUCGGAUAAGUGCUGAAAGCAUCUAAGUACGAAGCCGGCCACAAGAUUAGAUUUCUCAGGGUCGUCAAAGACGAUGACGUUGAUAGGAUGCAGGUGUAAAGGUAGAGAUACCAAAGCCGAGCAUUACUAAUUGCCCGUAUGCUUUCCUUG
rnacentral:rRNA from 1 species